CUGGCCCAGAGCUGUCCGAAGCAAACUGUCCUCCCGCUGUCCCCUUCUUGCUGUCCUGCAUGAGCACCAGGAUGGCUUUGACUUGCAGAAGCACUG
rnacentral:lncRNA from 1 species